rnacentral:rRNA from 1 species
CGCCUACGGGAGGCAGCAGUCGGGAAUAUUGCGCAAUGGAGGAAACUCUGACGCAGUGACGCCGCGUAUAGGAAGAAGGUUUUCGGAUUGUAAACUAUUGUCGUUAGGGAAGAUAAAAGACAGUACCUAAGGAGGAAGCUCCGGCUAACUACGUGCCAGCAGCCGCGGUAAUACGUAGGGGGCAAGCGUUAUCCGGAUUUACUGGGUGUAAAGGGAGCGUAGACGGCAACGCAAGUCUGGAGUGAAAUGCCGGGGCCCAACCCCGGAACUGCUUUGGAAACUGUGCAGCUCGAGUGCAGGAGAGG